AUUGAACGCUGGCGGCAUGCUUUACACAUGCAAGUCGAACGGCAGCACGGGGGCAGUCCUGGUGGCGAGUGGCGAACGGGUGAGUAAUACAUCGGAACGUGCCCGGUCGUGGGGGAUAACGUAGCGAAAGUUACGCUAAUACCGCAUACGAUCUGAGGAUGAAAGCGGGGGACCUUCGGGCCUCGCGCGAUCGGAGCGGCCGAUGUCAGAUUAGGUAGUUGGUGGGGUAAAGGCCUACCAAGCCGACGAUCUGUAGCUGGUCUGAGAGGACGACCAGCCACACUGGGACUGAGACACGGCCCAGACUCCUACGGGAGGCAGCAGUGGGGAAUUUUGGACAAUGGGCGCAAGCCUGAUCCAGCCAUUCCGCGUGCAGGACGAAGGCCUUCGGGUUGUAAACUGCUUUUGUACGGAACGAAAAGGCUCUGGCUAAUACCUGGGGCUCAUGACGGUACCGUAAGAAUAAGCACCGGCUAACUACGUG
rnacentral:rRNA from 1 species